rnacentral:rRNA from 1 species
UACGUAGGGGGCAAGCGUUAUCCGGAUUUACUGGGUGUAAAGGGAGCGUAGACGGCAAUGCAAGUCCGGAGUGAAAGCCCGGGGCCCAACCCCGGGACUGCUCUGGAAACUGUAGAGCUGGAGUGCGGGAGGGGCAGGCGGAAUUCCUAGUGUAGCGGUGAAAUGCGUAGAUAUUAGGAGGAACACCGGCGGCGAAGGCGGCCUGCUGGACCGAAACUGACGUUGAGGCUCGAAAGCGUGGGGAGCAAACA